rnacentral:misc_RNA from 1 species
GAUAAGAACGCAGCGAAAUGCGAUAAGUAAUGUGAAUUGCAGAAUUCAGUGAAUCAUCGAAUCUUUGAACGCACAUUGCGCCCCCCAGUAUUCUGGCGGGCAUGCCUGUUCGAGCGUCAUUUCAACCAUCAAGCCCUGCUUGUGUUGGGGUCCUGCGGCUGCCCGCAGGCCCUGAAAACCAGUGGCGGGCUCGCUAGUCACACCGAGCGCAGUAGCACAUCUCGCUCAGGGCGUGCGGCGGGCUCCAGCCGUUAAAGCACCCACCUUUCGCAAGGUUGACCUCGGAUCAGGUAGGAAUACCCGCUGAACUUAAGCAUAUCAAUAAGCGGAGGA